AUUGAACGCUGGCGGCAGGCCUAACACAUGCAAGUCGAACGAGUGGCGGACGGGUGAGUAAUGUCUGGGAAACUGCCCGAUGGAGGGGGAUAACUACUGGAAACGGUGGCUAAUACCGCAAACCAUCGGAUGUGCCCAGAUGGGAUUAGCUAGUAGGUGGGGUAAUGGCUCACCUAGGCGACGAUACCUAGCUGGUCUGAGAGGCUGACCGUCCACCCUGGAACGGAGACACGGCCCAGACUCCUACGGGAGGCAGCAGUGGGGAAUAGUGCACAAUGGGCGCAAGCCUGAUACAGCCAUGCCGCGUGGAUGAAGAAGGCCUUCGGGGUGUAAAGUACUUUUAGCGGGGAGGCGUUACUCGCAGAAGAAGCACCGGCUAACUCCGUGCCAGCAGCCGCGGUAAUAC
rnacentral:rRNA from 1 species